rnacentral:rRNA from 1 species
GAUGAACGCUGGCGGCGUGCCUAAUACAUGCAAGUCGAGCGAACGGAUAAGGAGCUUGCUCCUUUGAAGUUAGCGGCGGACGGGUGAGUAACACGUGGGUAACCUACCUAUAAGACUGGAAUAACUUCGGGAAACCGGAGCUAAUGCCGGAUAACAUUUGGAACUGCAUGGUUCUAAAGUAAAAGAUGGUUUUGCUAUCACUUAUAGAUGGACCCGCGCCGUAUUAGCUAGUUGGUAAGGUAACGGCUUACCAAGGCAACGAUACGUAGCCGACCGGAGAGGGUGAUCGGCCACACUGGAACUGGGACACGGUCCAGACUCCUACGGGAGGCAGCAGUAGGGAAUCUUCCGCAAUGGACGAAAGUCUGACGGAGCAACGCCGCGUGAGUGAUGAAGGUUUUCGGAUCGUAAAACUCUGUUAUUAGGGAAGAACAAAUGUGUAAGUAACUGUGCACAUCUUGACGGCACCUAAUCAGAAAGCCACGGCUAACUACGUGCCAGCCGCCGCAGUAA